GAACCGCUGGGCGGCCGUGCCUAACACAUGCAAGUCGAACGCAUCAGGUGCUUCGGCGCUGAUGAGUGGCGAACGGGUGAGUAACACGUGAGUAACUUGCCGUGGGGGAGGGGGAUAACCAUCUGAAAAGAUGGCUAAUACCCCAUAUUCUCCUUUAUUGCUAGAUAAAGGAGGAAAAGGUGGCGUAAAGCUGUCGCCCCCCGGAGAGGCUCGCGUCCCAUCAGCUAGUUGGUAGGGUAAUGGCUUACCAAGGCUAUGACGGGUAGCUGGUCUGAGAGGAUGGUCAGCCACACUGGGACUGAGACACGGCCCAGACUCCUACGGGAGGCAGCAGUGAGGAAUCUUGGGCAAUGGGCGAAAGCCUGACCCAGCGACGCCGCGUGGAGGAAGAAGGUCUUCGGAUCGUAAACUCCUGUUCGGGGAGAAGAACAAGAGAGAAGUUAAUAGCUUCUCUCUCUGACGGUAUCCCCGGAGAAAGCUCCGGCUAAUUACGUG
rnacentral:rRNA from 1 species